rnacentral:ncRNA from 1 species
AAUAUGACGAUGACGAGGAAUAGUAAAAUAGAGUUAUUUUAAAGAGAGUUUAUGGUUGGUGAAAAUAAACAUUUAAACUAUUUGAAUCCGCCUUUGAGUUAUGAGUUUAAAGAGAGAGCCUAUAAAUAGGUUAAUUAGGGUGGCAACGCGGGUCUUACUCGUCCCUUUU